AUUGAACGCUGGCGGCAGGCCUAACACAUGCAAGUCGAGCGAGCGGCGGACGGGUGAGUAAUGUCUGGGAAACUGCCUGAUGGAGGGGGAUAACUACUGGAAACGGUAGCUAAUACCGCAUACCAUCAGAUGUUCCCAGAGGGGAUUAGCUAGUAGGUGGGGUAAUGGCUCACCUAGGCGACGAUCCCUAGCUGGUCUGAGAGGAUGACCGGCCACACUGGAACUGAGACGCGGUCCAGACUCCUACGGGAGGCAGCAGUGGGGAAUAUUGCACAAUGGGCGAAAGCCUGAUGGAGCCAUGCCGCGUGGAUGAAGAAGGCCUUCGGGUUGUAAAGUACUGUCAGCGGGGAGGCGGUACCCGCAGAAGAAGCACCGGCUAACUCCGUGCCAGCAGCCGCGGUAAUUC
rnacentral:rRNA from 1 species